CACGUAGGAGGCGAGCGUUGUCCGGAAUCAUUGGGCGUAAAGAGCGCGCAGGCGGCUUGGCAAGUCGGGUGUGAAAUCCCGGGGCUCAACCCCGUGACUGCAUCCGAUACUGUCAGGCUAGAGGUAGGUAGGGGAGAUCGGAAUUCCUGGUGUAGCGGUGAAAUGCGUAGAUAUCGGGAGGAACACCAGAGGCGAAGGCGGGUUACUGGGCUGAUACUGACGCUGAUGCGCGAAAGCUAGGGGAGCAAACGGG
rnacentral:rRNA from 1 species